rnacentral:lncRNA from 1 species
AGUCCAGCAGCUGACAGACUGUUGCAUGCAGCAGCUGAGGGUCAGGGAAGAGAUGUGAGACUUCUGAUACUUUCUCAAGGCCGGUGCAGGAUUCGGCUUCUGGAGAGCUCAAGGAUGAUUGCUUGCAAGGAUUGUAAGCUCCACUGGCAUGAGCAGUCCUGAGCCACCACGCAGAGUCACUCCCAAAUUCCUAACCUCAGGUAUCAAGUAAGAUAAUCAGUGCUUCACGCUCUGUAUAAAUCACCGCCUGACACUUGCCUGCACCUCGUUCUGUUUGUGGUUGCUGGUUCCCACGGCUGGCCUCUCGUUUUCUUCAUCAGGGCUGGAUGGAAGUUCACGUACACCUUCUUCACAGAUCUGAACUUGCCUUUGGUGAUUGGUAAGAGUGUUGCGCUCCAUCCUUUAUCAAUUUCCUGCAUCUAUCUCCUUUCUGGGAACUGAGAUGUGCUGCAUCGGUGAUUGAGUUUGACUGUCUCGCUGCAAGCUCUGAACGUGUUCAUUUUAUCAUUUUUAAUUCAUUAGUGAAUGCAUUUAUUCACUGGGUCUAUUUUUAUGAAAAAAUGCUCUGGACUAAGAAGGAAUCUAACAAAUGGGUCCUUGAGGUUUGGGGGAGCUAAAGGGAGGUUGCUUUGGUUUGGGUUAGCUUUAAACAACAAUUUCAUGUAGCCCAGGCUAGCCUUGAACUUCCUAAUUAGCCAAGGAUGGCCUUGAAUUCUUGGUCCUACUGCUGCAACCUCCCAAAUGCUAGGAUGUGCUGUGCUAUCACAACUGGUUGGUGCAAUGCUGAACCCAGAGCUUUGUCCACACUAGACAGGUACACCGGCAUCGACAGCCCCAGCUCAGCUGUGGGGACUCAAAACCCAAGGCUCCACUCGUCAAUGUUGGUCUGUCAUAAUUUUUAUUAUUUUUUUGUACACAGUGGAAAUAAUGAAGUGAAGCUAGGCAUGGUGAUCCAUGCCUUUAAGUCCAGCUCUGGCGAGGCAGAGACAGGUAUAUCUUUGAGUUUGAGACCAGCCUGGACGAUAGAAUAAGUUCCAGCAGAGCCAGGGUGAAACAGAGAAAUUGUGUCUUGAAACAAAACAACAAAAAUAGAAAAAGGUAAGAAAGGAAUGAAGUGAUAAUGAUAUUGAUGAUCUGGUGAAAAACCUGAACUUUAAAGAUUUUAAUUUGAUUUUGGUUUAAGUGCGUGUCUGCGGAGAGAUAUAUGCAUGCAAGUGUAAUGCCUGGGGAGACAAAAAGAGGGCGUCAGAUUACGGGAGCUGGAAUUACAUAGGCUUGUGAGCCCUCUGACAGAUUGUGUUGGUGUUUAUUUUAUGUGUAUGGGUGGUUUUGCCUGCAUGUAUAUAUGUGCACCAUGUGAGUGCAGUACCUGAGGAGGUCAGAAGAGGGCGCCAGGUAUUCUGGUACUGGAGUUGCUGACAGUUUCUAGUCACUUGUGGAUCCUGGGAACAGAACCCGAGUCCUCUGGAAGAGCAGCAAGUGCUCUUAGCCAUUGACACCAUCUCUUCAGCCUCCUCUUUCUUUUAUAGAUGAGGUCUCCGCUAUAGUGCAGGUGAGCCAGGAACUAUCAAACCUCUUUUCUUAGCCUCCCCAUUGCUGGGGUUACAGGUUAGGGUCUCUGUACCUGUAUGAAAACUAAUGUUUCUAAUGGUGACUAUAGUAAGUUGAACACUCUAGUCUCUGACAAGGGCAAGCCUCUUCUUGUAGUGUUCAGCUCCAUUUAUGAACUUAUUUAAUUAAAAUCUACUAAUUAUUUUAAGCGGACAGUAUGAUUUUUACAAGGGAUUCAUUUUUCCAUGUUUUAAUUGUGCAAUAAGCAUUUCUAGGCCAUAAAUUCGGUCUUUUAAAUUUCAAGGCCUGAUAAUAAAAUGUUCUGGGUGACUCUCUCCUCUGACGUCAUGUCUUUCCUGCCCCAUCCCUCUACCAGGUCCCACCGUGUAGACCUGGCUUGUCUGGAACACAGAUACCUGCCUACCUGUGCCUACUGAGUGCUGGGAUCAAAGACAUGUACCACCCACCACACCCGGCAACCCACCUAGGUCUUGGAGACAGCAUCUCUCAUUAGCCUGGAGUUUGAUAUCGGGCUCGGUCAUCUAGCCAGCCAUGCUUGGAGAUCCAUCUGUCUCCAAAUCUCCAGUGCUGGGACUACAAACACGCUCCACCAUGCCUGCUUCUUAUGUGGGUGCUCAAGCUCAAACUCAUGUUCUCAUGCUUGGGUGGCAAGCACUUUACCACCUAAGUAAUCUCUCCCAGCCUCCUCAAUGACUGCACCUUCUGUCCUGAGGAGUAUGGGGUGAGUUAGCUACUGCUAGGUCCAGACAGAUCCACCCCCACCUGGAGUGACUAACAUGCUAACACACAGGGCUUUACAGGUGACUCACCCAGUGUUGUUUGUUUGCUUUGAGAUUACAAUAUCAAUAUUUCUCCCUUCUCUUUCCUCCCUCCAAACCCUGGCAUAUACUGCUCCCUGAUCCCUCUCAAGUUCAUGUCCUCUUUUUUCACUAAUUGUUAUUGCAUGUAUGUAUACACGUAUACAAUGUAUACAUGUGCAUUUAUGUAAGUUGCAUGUAUAUACACAAUGUAUAUAUAUAUAUAUAAUUUUUAAUAUACAUAUGUAUUCUUAAAUAUACCUUGUUCAGCCGAUACAAUGUUGCUUAUAUGUAUAUUUCCAGGGAUGACCAUUUCUAGUCAUGUAACACUUCUCUGAGGAGGAACUCCCACACCCAGCUUUCCUCCUUUGCCUGCUGUUCUUUGUAUAGGACUGAGGCCUUGUGGGCCUUUCUCCAUCCACUUUGGCAUAUCUAUUGGUGGUGUCCUUGUUCAGCUCAUGCUUGGGCAGCCAUGUUGGUGAGACUUCAUGGGUGUGGCUUCUGAUAUUACUAGGAGAACACAAUCUCACAGC